GAUGAACGCUGGCGGCGUGCCUAAUACAUGCAAGCCGAGCGAACGGACGAGAAGCUUGCUUCUCUGAUGUUAGCGGCGGACGGGUGAGUAACACGUGGAUAACCUACCUAUAAGACUGGGAUAACUUCGGGAAACCGGAGCUAAUACCGGAUAAUAUUUUGAACCGCAUGGUUCAAAAGUGAAAGACGGUCUUGCUGUCACUUAUAGAUGGAUCCGCGCUGCAUUAGCUAGUUGGUAAGGUAACGGCUUACCAAGGCAACGAUGCAUAGCCGACCUGAGAGGGUGAUCGGCCACACUGGAACUGAGACACGGUCCAGACUCCUACGGGAGGCAGCAGUAGGGAAUCUUCCGCAAUGGGCGAAAGCCUGACGGAGCAACGCCGCGUGAGUGAUGAAGGUCUUCGGAUCGUAAAACUCUGUUAUUAGGGAAGAACAUAUGUGUAAGUAACUGUGCACAUCUUGACGGUACCUAAUCAGAAAGCCCCGGCUAACUACGUG
rnacentral:rRNA from 1 species